GACGAACGCUGGCGGCGUGCUUAACACAUGCAAGUCGAACGGAAAGGCUUCUUUCGGGGGGUACUCGAGUGGCGAACGGGUGAGUAACACGUGAGUAACCUGCCCUUGACUUUGGGAUAACUUCAGUAAACUGGGGCUAAUACCGGAUAGGAGCUCCUGCUGCAUGGUGGGGGUUGGAAAGUUUCGGCGGUUGGGGAUGGACUCGCGGCUUAUCAGCUUGUUGGUGGGGUAGUGGCUUACCAAGGCUUUGACGGGUAGCCGACCUGAGAGGGUGACCGGCCACAUUGGGACUGAGAUACGGCCCAGACGCCGACGGGAGGCAGCAGUGGGGAAUAUUGCACAAUGGGUGGAAGCCGGAUGCAGCAACGCCGUGUGCGGGAUGACGGACUUCGGGUUGUAAACCGCUUUCGCUCAUGACGAAGCUUUGUGUGACGGUAGUGGGUAAAGAAGCACCGGCUAACUACGUG
rnacentral:rRNA from 1 species